rnacentral:RNase_P_RNA from 1 species
GAGUCGGUCAGACGGUUGCGGGCAGAAAUGCCCGAGGAAAGUCCGAGCCCCACAGGGCAGAAUAGCGGCUAACGGCCGCCGAGGGUGACCUUAGGGAAAGUGCAACAGAGAUAUACCGCCGCAUUUUUGCGGUAAGGGUGGAAAGGCGAGGUAAGAGCUCACCGGUCUUACGGGAACGGCAAGACCCUGUAAACCCUAUUCGGAGCAACGCUGACUGUAACGAUACACCUGCCCGGCGUGUUACGAAAAGCGGCUUGAGCGCCGGGAGCAAUCCCGCGUCGAGAUAGAUAACCGUCCGCGACAGAACUCGGCUUACCGACCGACUCUU